GGUGGACCAUCUCGUUCAGUUUUAUUCUUUUUAAAUGCAUAUUUCUUUCUCCUAAACUCAUGAUCAGGUGGCAAGAACCGACGAUGACAAUCAAACCAUGAAUUUUUUUCGGCCAUAUUUUAAUGUGAAUGAUUUAGUAUCUUCCAUACAAUAGGGACAUGCUAACUUUCCAGCUGUCAUCCAUCCAGAUAGCAUUCCAUAGGCAGGAAAAUCAUUAAUAGUCCACAUUAAAGUAGCACGCAUGUUGAAAUUUUGUUUACGAGAAAUGUCCCAUGUUUCUACACCCUCAGACCACAAC
rnacentral:lncRNA from 1 species